GAUGAACGCUGGCGGCGUGCCUAAUACAUGCAAGUCGAGCGAACAGACGAGGAGCUUGCUCCUCUGACGUUAGCGGCGCACGGGUGAGUAACACGUGGAUAACCUACCUAUAAGACUGGGAUGACUUCGGGAAACCGGAGCUAAUACCGGAUAAUAUAUUGAACCGCAUGGUUCAAUAGUGAAAGACGGUUUUGCUGUCACUUAUAGAUGGAUCCGCGCCGCAUUAGCUAGUUGGUAAGGUAACGGCUUACCAAGGCGACGAUGCGUAGCCGACCUGAGAGGGUGGUCGCCCACACUGGAACAGAGGCACGGUCCAGACUCCUACGGGGGGCAGCGGUAGGGACUCUUCCGGAAUGGGCGAGAGCCUGACAGAGCAACGCCGCGUGAGUGAUGAAGGUCUUCGGAUCGUAAAACUCUGUUAGUAGGGGAGAACAAAUGUGUAAGUAACUAUGCACAUCUUGACGGUACCUAAUCAGAAAGCCACGGCUAACUACGUG
rnacentral:rRNA from 1 species